rnacentral:rRNA from 3 species
GGACUACCGGGGUAUCUAAUCCCGUUCGCUCCCCUGGCUUUCGCGUCUCAGCGUCAGAAAGGGUCCAGGACCUCGCUUUCGCCACGGGCGUUCCUUCCGAUCUCAACGCAUUUCACCGCUCCACCGGAAGUUCCAGGUCCCCCUACCCCCCUCCAGGCCGCUCGUAUCGGUGCCCGUUCCCCGGUUGAGCCGGGGGAUUUCAGCAGCCGACGUGGCGGCCCGCCUACACGCGCUUUAAGCCCAGUGAUUCCGAAUAACGUUCGCACGGUUCGUCUUACCGCGGCGGCUGGCAC